CAGCCGCCGCGGUAAUACCGGCGGCUCGAGUGGUGGCCACUAUUACUGGGCUUAAAGCGUCCGUAGCUUGGUUGUUAAGUCUCCUGGGAAAUCCAUCGGCUCAACCGAUGGGCGUUCAGGAGAUACUGGCAACCUAGGGACCGGGAGAGGUGAGAGGUACUCCAGGGGUAGGAGUGAAACCCUGUAAU
rnacentral:rRNA from 1 species